UGAAGGUGAAAGCCACGUGGAAAUGGUUCUUGUAAUGACUAUCUUCUUGUGACUGGCAGCUCUCGAUCAUUCCAUGACUGAUUGAGAAAUAAGUACCAACACUUGAUAUAGAGGGCCUUCAACCAUAAAUGUAGCAGCUUCAGCCGGAGCAAACUGUAUUGUUGUAGGAAGUCCAGCGUUUGGAGCUUCUGAGCCAGCCCAAGUAAUUGACAUGGUACAGGCAAAACCAUUCGUUCACAUUUUCAGCUUGCCUUCAGUCCCCAACCAAUAGUACCAGAACGCAAAGUUGCUCUGGCAUAUGAUUGACUUGGCUUCCGCUCAACUUUACUGGACUGCCAUAAAACAUGGCAUUGGAGGCUAUUGAAAGGUUGCAAAAGAAUAUUGACACUCUUAUAGUAUUGGUAAUGAGCAUCUGCUUCUGAGGAUGCUUUCCUUCUUGUUGAUGAUGUUCUACGUCAAGGACUCCCAAGGAAUUUCAGACAUAAUCACAAUUCCUGGACUGGUAAAUGUGGAAAAUUCCUUGAUUGGAUCCUCAAUUCAAUCAGCUACAGGGGUAAUGUACAAUAUUACAGGACGAAGCUGGAAAGGUUGUGACGAAUGCUAACAAGGGAGAGAUUCAUGUUACUAUCAUUGCUAAAGGCAUUUAGGAAGACAUUAUUAACAAAUCCCAAGGCAGCAAAGCUGAUUGACAAAAGUUACAGCAGGCCAAGAAAGUAAGGGAAUGCCUCAGCCAUGGUAUCACAAAAGGAACACCUUUCAUAGAGACGGGGGAUAUUUAAAUGAUGAAUGGAUGGUCCUGUCUUUCCAUCUUUUAGAUUAGCUUUUCUGCAAAAAUUCUAUGAAAAUAUUGUAAAAUGAAAUUUU